ACGGAGGAUCCAAGCGUUAUCCGGAAUCAUUGGGUUUAAAGGGUCCGUAGGCGGUCUUAUAAGUCAGUGGUGAAAUCUCCCCGCUCAACGGGGAAACGGCCAUUGAUACUGUAGGACUUGAAUUAUUAGGAAGUAACUAGAAUAUGUAGUGUAGCGGUGAAAUGCUUAGAGAUUACAUGGAAUACCAAUUGCGAAGGCAGGUUACUACUAAUGGAUUGACGCUGAUGGACGAAAGCGUGGGUAGCGAACAGGAUUAGAUACCCUGGUAGUCCACGCCGUAAACGAUGGAUACUAGCUGUUGGGAGCAAUUUCAGUGGCUAAGCGAAAGUGAUAAGUAUCCCACCUGGGGAGUACGUUCGCAAGAAUG
rnacentral:rRNA from 1 species